rnacentral:rRNA from 1 species
CCUACGGGGGGCUGCAGUGGGGAAUAUUGGACAAUGGGGGGAACCCUGAUCCAGCCAUGCCGCGUGUGUGAAGAAGGCCCUCGGGUUGUAAAGCACUUUCAGUGAGGAAGAACGCCUGGUGGUUAAUACCCAUCAGGAAAGACAUCACUCACAGAAGAAGCACCGGCUAACUCCGUGCCAGCAGCCGCGGUAAUACGGAGGGUGCGAGCGUUAAUCGGAAUUACUGGGCGUAAAGCGCGCGUAGGUGGCUUGAUAAGCCGGUUGUGAAAGCCCCGGGCUCAACCUGGGAACGGCAUCCGGAACUGUCAAGCUAGAGUGCAGGAGAGGAAGGUAGAAUUCCCGGUGUAGCGGUGAAAUGCGUAGAGAUCGGGAGGAAUACCAGUGGCGAAGGCGGCCUUCUGGACUGACACUGACACUGAGGUGCGAGAGCGUGGGUAGCAAACAGGAUUAGAUACCCCUGUAGUC